GGAGAAUGAGCUGAAGCUCAUGGGAUUAUGAUACACCUUUGGAUCCUUGUACAGAAUAUAGAGGAAAUUCUCAAAAGAGGCAGCAGUUCUCUGGGCUCCCUGGGACCUAUAUGCCAAAUUCCCAGGCUUGUCUUCCAAGACUGUUCCACUUAAGGAAAAAAUGAAUGAACCAUUAGCAAGUGGUAUUUUGCUACCAGAUCUCCAAGAUGAGUACUCAUUGAAGCUGAAAGAAGGCUAACUUUUACUUAGAGGAAAGGAAAGCUACCUUCACUUCCACUGAAUCCAAGAAAGGCAAGAUGGCGGAAGAGUAGGGGUCCUCACUUCUACUGAGUCCAAAGGCAAACCAGCUCAUGGGCUUUACCUUGGGCUAAGCAUUCAGGUGGCUUGUCGAUCAACAAUAUGCAUUUAUAUUCCUGGAUCCUGAAGGUGGAAAAGUAGAGAGAGUAGAGAACCUUUAGUAACCACCUGGCCUCAAGAGAAGGUUUGCAUGUCUGCUGAAGUUUUCAUGAUGUCAGCUGGGCUCAUCUGGGCCAGGCUGGAGUCACGCCAGGCCACUUUCAAGUUGGCUUUCAUGUGCACUGUCAUUCCAGGCCCCAGGCUAAAGAAGCAAUCUGAGACAUGCUCUUUCCAGAUAGAAGCCUGGACUCACAAAUAGCAUGAUGACACUUCCAUCCAUAUUCCAUUGGCUCAAGAAAGUCACAAGGCCAAGCCCAAAGUCACCGAGGAUAGGGGAGUAUGCUCCAUGCAAGAAAGCGGUCUGGGGAAUAAAAUGAAUACCUGCUGUUCAGUGACCUAAUCUAUCACAAGCCUCUACAGUUUUAUUUUCACUAUCUCAUUUGGCUGAAAUGCCUUUACUAUCCACAAAGCUAUUUUAAUCUGGCCCAACCUUCAAGUCCCAGUUCAAAUGUCACCCCUUCCAUCACACUCCUCCUGGUGUCACUGGACAGAUUUUUUUCCAAACACGGAACUCUGUAUUCUCCAACAGCAUUUAUUACACAGAGCAUCACAUUGCAGUCAUUUGUCUGUAUGUGACAUCUCCUAUAAACUCCUGAGCACUUUAAAAAAAAGCGACUAUGAAAAAAUCAUUUUUUCAUUACCAACAUCAUCCAAUGCCUGUGGCAUGCUAGAUGCUUAGUAUAUGCUGCAUAAAGAAAUGAAAACAAAAAAAAAA